AGCGCAGGCGGGAAGACAAGUUGGAAGUGAAAUCUAUGGGCUCAACCCAUAAACUGCUUUCAAAACUGUUUUUCUUGAGUAGUGCAGAGGUAGGCGGAAUUCCCGGUGUAGCGGUGGAAUGCGUAGAUAUCGGGAGGAACACCAGUGGCGAAGGCGGCUUUCUGGGCUGUAACUGACGCUGAGGCUCGAAAGCUAGGGUAGCGAACG
rnacentral:rRNA from 1 species